AACGAACGCUGGCGGCAGGCUUAACACAUGCAAGUCGAGCGCCCCGCAAGGGGAGCGGCAGACGGGUGAGUAACGCGUGGGAAUCUACCCAGCUCUACGGAAUAACCCAGGGAAACUUGGACUAAUACCGUAUACGUCCUUCGGGAGAAAGAUUUAUCGGAGUUGGAUGAGCCCGCGUUGGAUUAGCUAGUUGGUGGGGUAAUGGCCUACCAAGGCGACGAUCCAUAGCUGGUCUGAGAGGAUGAUCAGCCACACUGGGACUGAGACACGGCCCAGACUCCUACGGGAGGCAGCAGUGGGGAAUAUUGGACAAUGGGCGCAAGCCUGAUCCAGCCAUGCCGCGUGAGUGAUGAAGGCCCUAGGGUUGUAAAGCUCUUUCACCGGUGAAGAUAAUGACGGUAACCGGAGAAGAAGCCCCGGCUAACUUCGUGCCAGCCGCCGCAGUAAGAC
rnacentral:rRNA from 1 species